UUUAUGACGUCAUUAACAUAAAACAUGGUGGAUCUGGAAGUAAUAAGUGAAGUUUUUAGGUUUCACUCACUGUUCAACUGAGGUGGAAGUGUGUAUGAUUUCAAGAAACAUGGCUGUGUUUACUUGAUUAAAUUUAGUUUAUUGAAAUGUUGAUUUCGAGAAGUGUAGUGAGUAAAACGAGUUUGCCCCUGAAGAAGAAAAGCACACCUUUCGAAAGCGCUCGGGUUAUAAUUUAUACUUAUAAGUUAUAGGGUUUUUAUUUAUUUCUGUCAAGACUUCCUGAACAUACGUGUCUUUCUAACAUCAUGAGUUAAAGUAUAUUAUAAGGUGGCUAUAUUUUAUACAGAACAGCCACGGUUCCUUUCACUAUGCGUUAGUCCUAACUUAGUAACUAGUAGUACUUGUAAGUUGUACUGUAGUAGUACAUUUAGUAGUAAACAAGUAGUAGUUCUAGUGCUAAAUUAGUAAAUUCAGUAUCGUUUAUGCUAUUAAAAUCUAACUUUACAAUAACAAUUACAACUUACAAACAACAGUUUUACUUUUAGUUUUAUUAUUAUUACUAGUGGUAGUACCGUAACUGGUGUUAAGUGUUACAACUUAGCUGUUACAGUGUUAGUAUUGGAUUAUUAAGCCUACUACAUGACUCAAGUACAGCUUAUUCUAUUAGUUUUAACUGUUUAUUAAUUAACAUAGUAUCUAUUCUAUUAAGGUUUCUUCAAAAAUUCAAUUUAAAGUACCAAGUCUUGUUGCUUACUUAUGCCAUUAAUUGCAACAUUAUUUUUUUGCUAAUUACUUUUUUAAUGAUUUAUAUCCAAUCACUAUAACCUUACCAUGGGAUAAGUAUUUAGAAAAAUAGGUAUCUGAUUGGAUGAUUAAAACUAAUUCAAUCCAAUGGUUUUGUGUAAGAACAUUUUGUAUAGAAAUGAAAUUAAGAGAAAUGCGGUAAUAAAAUAGUUAAACUGAUGGCCAAAUUGUUGGAAAAAAAUGGUUCUGAAGAUGAUGUUGCUUUGAUUCUAAAACAUCUUAAUAUAAGUGAAUGGGCAGAUGUGUUACCAAUGUGUUUCAGUACUGAGGAAUGCACCGAAGGUACAGAUAUCAAGAAAAAUCUAACAUUUUGUAUGAGGUUAAUCAAGAUGUGAAAAGGAAGAAAGGUUAGAUGAGGUUAUUGAUGUAAGGAACGUCAUGGACUGAAGAUACAGAAAGAGCUUAUCUGGUGCAGGAGAAACAUGAAGAUUUGGAAGACAUAACAUUAAAUGUCAUUACUCAGAUAGGUGUGAAACCUUUCAUUGAGUAUCUGACUACGAUUUAUAAUGAAACACGGGAAAAUGUUACCAAACAAGUGACGUCUGCUGAGCUAGUCUUCAGAGAGGAUUGUAUCUACUGUUUGUAAUAAAGGAGAAAAGACAUGUUCAGUGUUUAGAUAUCAGUCCUGUGGUAAAGAGAGUUAGUAAGAAGACUAAAUAUUAUGUUCAAUGUUUAGAUAUCAGUCCUGUGGUAAAGAGUUAAUAAGAAGACUAAAUAUUAUGUUCAGUGUUAAGAUAUCAGUCCUGUGGUAAAGAGUUAAUAAGAAGACUAAAUAUUAUGUUCAGUGUUAAGAUAUCAGUCCUGUGGUAAAGAGUUAAUAAGAAGACUAAAUAUGAUGUUCAGUGUUAAGAUAUCAGUCCUGUGGUAAAGAGUUAAUAAGAAGACUAAAUAUUAUGUUCAGUGUUAAGAUAUCAGUCCUGUGGUAAAGAGUUAAUAAGAAGAUUAAAUAUUAUGUUCAGUGUUAAGAUAUCAGUCCUGUGGUAAAGAGAGUUAGUAAGAAGAUUAAAUAUUAUGUUCAGUGUUUAAAUAUCAGUCCUGUGGUAAAGAGUUAAUAAGAAAACUAAAUAUUAUGUUCAGUGUUAAGAUAUCAGUCCUGUGGUAAAGAGUUAAUAAGAAGACUAAAUAUUAUGUUUAGUGUUUAAAUAUCAGUCCUGUGGUAAAGAGAGUUAGUAAGAAGAUUAAAUAUUAUGUUCAGUGUUAAGAUAUCAGUCUUGUGGUAAAGAGUUAAUAAGAAGAUUAAAUAUUAUGUUCAGUGUUAAGAUAUCAGUCCUGUGGUAAAGAGUUAAUAAGAAGACUAAAUAUUAUGUUCAGUGUUUAGAUAUCAGUCCUGUGGUAAAGAGAGUUAGUGGAGUGUUUAUUUUAAACAGCCACAAUACAAUAGAAUAUGGACGAGUGUGUACCGUGUGCGGCAAAACGUUCAGCAAAGAAGCCAACAUGAUUCGCCAUUUACAGAUUCAUACGUUACGAACAGUCACGUGCGACUUGUGUGGGUUUCGCUGCUCACGCUCAGAUAGUUUGAAAAGACAUAAGAGAGGACAGCAUGGAGUAGAUAUUUAGGAAUAUUCUGAAACUCUCAGUAUUUAUAAUUGCUCAACCAAGUCAAUAGAAAGUCAUAAUUUACCCUCUGCAGCAAAGAGAGUAUCUAUUUUACAUCUCCGUGAUUUGUACUCUAUGGAAUCAUGGGGAUUUUGGCAACAAAACAGAAACUGGUGUUAGGACUGUGGUUGCUUACAGUCACUGAAACGUCUCGUGUGUGUCUACAAAACAAGAUGAUGUACACCAUUGUUAUUGGUUGUUCAUGUUUAGUUGUGGUUGCUUACAGUCACUGAAGUGUCUUGUGUGUGUCUACAAAACAAGAUGAUGAUGUACACCAUUGUUAUUGGUUGUUCAUGUUUAAUUGUAGAAGUUUUUACUGAUAGGUGUAUUCCUGCAGAUAAUUUAGAAAUAUUUUACAGAACAACAUUGAUAACAACCUCUAACAAAAUAAACGAAUCACCUUGAAUGUUUUAACAGUUUUUAUUCACUGUAUUUUUAUUUACACACAGCUUCAGACAUGUCAGCAAUCAUAAAAUUUUCUAAUCACAUUUUUUUUCUAGUGUAUAGUCCGAACAUAAUGUUCUUAAUUUAAAACUAGUUUUUUCUGUGACUCCUGUUUAUAUGAUUGACAUUAAAUACUUCUCUUUAUUUGACAGGUAUGUCGAUCAUUGUUUUCUAUGUAUUACUUUCGGUAUAUUCAUACACAGAUGUAUACCAGGGAAAAAUUCCUAUUUUUACAUUCAUUGAUACUGACAGUGAAACAGGAAGUUGAAACAUGUGGAAAGUAAAUUAUUAUUUACAUAAAAAAUAAUUAUCCAGCCACGUUUGCCAAUAACUAAAUAUAUGUAUUCUAAAACCUCAUUUCUUUUAAUAAAGUAACAAGUUCUGUGAAUUUCAAUGAAAUAAAUUUUACAAUUUUUUCCCACAGUACAAGAUCGUUUUAUAACGGAUUUACCUAACCGAUGGCUUGGUCGGAAAAGUAAUGCUGAACGAGCAGCUAAUCAAUCAAGAUGUACGUAUUGUCAUCAUACAUUUUACAACAGACCCACACUGUUAAGACACAUGCAGCGCCACCUAGUGGACAGGGAGAGGUAUCUGUGUCAUCUCUGUAAUAGUACUUAUUGCAGAAAAGAUUAUCUGAAAAGACAUAUAGAAUUAGUUCAUGGAAAAUAUGUAAAAUAGUCAAUAUUUCUUAUCACAUUCUGUAUUCUAUGUUCCAAUAAAGUUAUAAAUGGAGUAACUAUCCUUCUAGUGCUAUUAACAAAAA